UGUUGUAACAUUAACUCAUAGUGUUUUGAAGAAAGUGGAAAGAGAAUUCAUUUCUUAAUUGUUACACUUUUAUCAUAAAAACAUUGUUUUUAUAUAUUUGCAUGAUGGAUUUGUUUGAAAUUACCAUGCGGUGGCCCCUAGUGAAAGUGCGCCGUAUAGCUAUAGCCUACCACUCCAAAAAGUUAACAACAGUAUAUAAUCUCAGGUAUGAUUAUUAAUCAUCAUAAGAGAAAACGGCAGACUCAGUCUUUUAUUAUUCUUAUAGGCUAAAUAUGACACCGAGGUUAAAGCGGAGAAAACAAAUGUUGAAGACGGACGCUUGAAUACACGCAGACCUCUUGCAUUUCUGUUGCGUAGCUGGAGGGAUUUACGGGGACUUAAUUCCUUAAAACUGUCCUCUCGUCCACAUGACGCUCAAACUGCAAGUGCUCAAGCUGAUAUACCCAAAUGUAUCAAGAGAUGAGUGCAUCGCAUUGCCAUGGGGCUAGAUUAAGGCCUUUUAUAAGACAUGUAGAAUACACGUGAAACCAGUGUGGAGUGGCGCAACGAGGAGGUGAGUUAGAUAGCUACCUUUAAAAAUGUUUAAAACAACACGUUGCCAAUAUCCACUUCGAGAAAUGUCUAUCGGGAUUCUUCUGUGUGGGAGGAAAGCCGACAGUAUCAUAACAGCUUUAAGUCCGUAGCCUACAUUUAAAGACAUCCUGAGAGAGAACCUGACAAGACUCGAGACGCACGGACAAAUGAACAACGGAAUGUCAUCCCAAUAAUCGAGUGCGAUCUUUUAUUGGGUUACAGAUGAAGAAGAAAAAAACCUUUUACACUUCAAGACAAGAUGGAAAGCUUCGGUUGUGCACCUGCUAUUGUGGAAUGAGAUGAUGACAGCCACCAUUAUCCUGGUCCAAAUGUUUUGCAAGCUCUGGUGGGCAAAAGCAAAGUGGACAUUAUCUGAUGUUAUCUUAUGUGAAUGUUUGGAGGAGCACAGUAGGAGUGGAUCAGUUUCUUCACAGUUCUGAAGAUUAAUACAUCUUUAGUAGCUUUUCAAUUAUGAUACCAUGUGUUGCACUUACUCAUUUAAAUUAAUGUUUGACUUGGUGUGUUACAUAUAUUGUGUUUUUCUCUUCAGAGGUUGAGUUUAGAGAUUAGAUUAAAUCAUUUAUGUGGUUGAAUGGACAUAAUUUAGCAUGAUACAUUACAAACUGACCUGCUAUAAUAUUCCCCCAAAUGUUUCUCUGAUUUGACAUAAUUGUGACAGUGUUUAAAUGCGAUAACAGAGUCAUUUUUUUGAUGAGAGGAACACUUGAAUGUGAAGGUAUAUUUGCACAAAGUAAUUACUAUGAAUAAAAGAGCUCGUUUGAUCUUUAUUGACAUUCAUAAUUUCCCGUGUGCCACAUCUUCCCGUAAGGUACAGGAAACUUAAAUGGGGUUAAAUGUUACGCGUCACGGUCCGAGAAAAUAAGGAUGUCAGAUUGGAAGGGUGGGGGAAACGGAGGAUGAUUGCACAGUACAUUUCAAGAGAUCACUAAGGUUACAGCAAUCUACAUAGAAACAGACUUGGGAUAAAAAGAGAGAAAGCACAUUAAAAUUCUCCAGUAGAGUUAUUCAUGCUGCAACAAUAUUGUACAACACCACAUUUUAAAAUACAUCUAUGUAUCAUUGUGCACUGUAAAAAAUAAUUUUCAUGAUUUAUCACUUUUUUUUCUAUUGUCUUAGAUAAUUAACGUGGUGUUCCGAUAACAUAAUAUUUUGAGUUUCUGUUGAUUAAACCAAUCGCUUUCAUUGUAUUAACUCAAUUUUUUAAUUUCAAUGAACUCAAUUUUAAGGCAACCAGGAAACUCACUUUUUUAAAGUUAAACCAACAAUUCUUUUUUACAGUGUUUACGCUUCUGAAAAAAUUACUUUUUAUGCUUCUUCCUUUACUUUGUUCUCAAGCAAGACAGUUUUUCCCUCAAUGCAAGUUUUGGUAACACUUUAUUUUACAAUGACGUUGUUACACAUAUUGCAUGUACACAGUAAAAAAAAAAAAAAAAAAAAAUUCAUGAUUUGUUUUCAACAUUUUUUCUUUUGUCAAAUCAACUUAAAUAAUUAAUGUGGUUCAGAUAACACCAUAUUUUGAGUUUCUGUUGAUUAAACCAAUCACCUUCAUUGUAUUAACUCAAAUUUUUAAUUUCAAUGAAUUCAAAAUUUUAAGCCAACCGUUUAACUUACUUUUUUUAAGUUAAACCAACAAUUUUUUUUUUUUUUUUUUUUUACAGUAGUAGUUACUUUAGUAAUAACUAUAAAUUAUGCAUAAUUACAUGCAACUAACCCUAAACCAAACCCUAAUCCUUACACUAACCCUAUAGUAAAUAUAUGUAGUUAAUUAAUAUUACUCAGUACUUAAAUGUAUAAUUACACUGUAACAAAGACACCUUAAAAUAAAGUGUAACCCAAGUUUUCAAAGUUUGUUGUACAGAAGUGUGCUCUCGAAAUUCUAACUAGCAGAAAAAGCCACAAAACCAGGACAGAAUUCUGUGCAUAUGUAUGAUGCAUUUAGUAUCUUCUGGAAAUAUUAAACGGCUAUUAAUCACCACUGUAAUUGUUUGUCUGCUGUUUACACAGGAGCCAAGCGGCAAACAAAUGGAUUCAAUUAAAACCGAUUCUUCCCUUCAAGUCAUCAAUAUGAGGCAAAUGCCAGUCCCUCUCAACUGUUUAUAUCUCUUUUGGGAAAGUGGUGGCUGUCUGUUGGGACUCCUCUCAUAAUUCUGUCAGUUGGAUGUUUCCAUUACGUUCUCUUCACGUUCCUGCCAUGUUCUUGUCCCGGCUCCAGCCUGUAGUCAGCUACCCUUCCAGCCACAGGCUGGCAGCUGUUUUUUUUUUUCUUUUUUCAAUUGUGUAUCUCUAAGGGCUUGUCUGUCAACUGGAACCCUCCCCUCCAAUUAGGAGAGUAAACACAAGACCCGUCUCUGUGUGUGUGCUUGUGUACGUGCUUAUAUAAAGUUCACAAACUGUCACUUAAAACUCCCCUCUAGUGAUAAAACAAUGCCUAGAUUCUGAUUGCCUGAUUACUCUCUCCAUCACCAAACUCCUACACUUUUAAUUGUAUAGACUGUCUCUUAACACUAAAUUGGAUUAUUGUGGCAUAAAUACAUAGUAAAAAUACUACAUACAAACAACAAAGUAUAUAUAAAUAAAGAAUAUAUAUAAAUAAAAUUUAUAUAAAUAAAAAAAGUUGUUACUUAUCUCCUGUAGAUUUGAAAGGAAACAUAUUUAUAUUUAAUAUAUUGUAGUUUCUAGACAUUUAUAUUGACUGAUUUUUCUGAGCAAGCUGGCGCUUGGUUGGUUGCGGACAUAUUUCAGUAAAAAAAGUGAAGAAAGUGUUUCUUUUCGACAUUAACAUGACAGGACACCACUCGCCACUCUCCUGGUUACCAUGGGGUACCAAUAAUGCUGAAAAGAAUGUAGAGUCUGCCAGAGUUGCAGACUGGGACAGAACGGGAUAUGCGUGUGUAUGUGUGUGUGUGUGCGCUUGACUGUGUGUGUGCUGGGGGUGGGAACACUCUCAGAAACCCCAGUGGUUACCGCCUUGCGGCUGGCAAUAGGGAUGCAGGAAUUUCACUAGACCUACUGCCCGGAAAAUGCCAGGUGGGAGACGAGGAGCGGACAGAGGGUGUGGACGAGUCACAUUAAUUGUUGGCAGGGGAGGUGGUGGAUAGGUAGCUCAGGAACUGUCAGAAGCUCAAUAGAAAAAUAGAGCAGUCAAAUCAGUUGCAGCCUGAUGUAUUUACUGUCGCUUUAAUGUCAUUUGCAGAAUGAGCAUUUCUCUUGCUCUCUAGCUAGAAUGCAAACUAAUCUCUUUUAUUUUCUUCUUUCU